CUGUGAGUGUCAGGGGUGCAGUGUGUGUGUGUGUGUGUGUGCUGUGAGUGUCAGGGGUGCAGUGUGUGUGUGUGCUGUGAGUGUCAGGGGUGCAGUGUGUGUGUGUGUGCUGUUAGUGUCAGGGGUGCAGUGUGUGUGUGUGCUGUGAGUGUCAGGGGUGCAGUGUGUGUGUGUGAGUGUCAGGGGUGCAGUGUGUGUGUGUGAGUGUCAGGGGUUUGAGUGUGUGUGA